rnacentral:rRNA from 1 species
GAGUCAGUAGGUUGGUCGUGCCACCGGUACGUACUGGUCUCACUGAUUCCUCCUUCCUGAAGAACCGUAAUGCCAUUAAUUUGGUGUUGCGGGGAAACAGGACUGUUACUUUGAAAAAAUUAGAGUGUUUAAAGCAAGCUAACGCUUGAAUACAUUAGCAUGGAAUAAUGAAAUAGGACGAUCGAUCCUAUUUUGUUGGUUUCUAGGAUUGACGUA